rnacentral:rRNA from 1 species
UACGGGGGGGGCAAGCGUUGUUCGGAAUUACUGGGCGUAAAGGGCUCGUAGGCGGCCAACUAAGUCAGACGUGAAAUCCCUCGGCUUAACCGGGGAACUGCGUCUGAUACUGGAUGGCUAGAGGUUGGGAGAGGGAUGCGGAAUUCCAGGUGUAGCGGUGAAAUGCGCAGAUAUCAGGAAGAACACCCGUGGCGAAAGCGGCUCUCUGGAACGGUACUGACGCUGAGACGCGAAAGCGUGGGGAGCGAACAGG